CGGUCGUAAUUUGCUGCGGGCAUAUAAAAUGGAUAUGGCAAUCAAUGCCUCCCGCUGUCACAAUCAUUCCUUCACCUGCAAUGAUUUCAGUGGAUGCACCGAUAACAAGCUCCGGAUCAACGCCUUGCAUCGUAUCCGGGUUGCCUGCUUUUCCAAUUCCGCAAAUACGCCCGUCUCUUAAUCCAAUAUCCGCUUUCACAAUUCCCCAAUGAUCGAUAAUCAAGGCAUUUGUAAUGACCGUAUCAGGUGUCCCGUCCUUACGUGUCGCACGGGCCGACUGCCCCAUCCCGUCACGAAUCA
rnacentral:sRNA from 1 species